rnacentral:rRNA from 1 species
UCAUUCGAUAAUAAAGAUCCACUAMUUGCCUUGUCGACGCUAAACUCAGUACCUCACUUCCUUACUAAUACACCUACUAGACCCAUACUCAUUACGAAUGUGUUGACUAGACAUCUGACUUAGAAACCUUAUGCUUAGACCGACAACGAUAAGGAAGGAGAUUUAUGGAUAAUGAGAUAUAGAAGUCAGGUGCAACGGUCAGCUCAGUCAGAGCGGAAGCGGUCAGGCAAGGUUAUCGUCAGACAAUGUAGUGCAAGCAACGGGUAGCGCUUUCCAUAAAGAAGCUAGCCAGAAAGCAGGUCAGGCAGGUAACCGAUAGUAAAAGCAAGCUAACACGCGGGCGAGGUUGAAGGCCUAUGGGUCGUGAACUUCUUUUCUCGCAGAAGAAGAAAUGAUGGUAUCUGGGGAAUAAGCAUCGGCUAACUCUGUGCCAGCAGCCGCGGUAAUACAGAGGAUGCAAGUGUUAUCUGGAAUGAUUGGGCGUAAAGAGUCAAUAGGUGGAUUUUUGAGUCCACCAUCAAAUCCCAGAGCUCAACCCUGGACAGGCGGUKGAAACUACCAAGCUGGAGUAUGGUAGGGGCAGAGGGAAUUUCCAGUGGAGCCAUAAAAUACGUAGAGAUCGGAAAGAACACCAACGGUGAAAGCACUCUGCUGGGACUACACUGACACUGAGAGACGAAAGUUAGGGGAGCAAAUGGGAUUAGAUACCCCAUAGUCCUAGCCGUAAAUAAUGGAUACUAUAUGAUGUGCAUAUCGACCCGUGCAGGGCUGUAGCUAACGUGUUAAGUAUCCAGCCUGGGGAGUACGGUGGCAAGAAAGAAACUCAAAGGAAUUGACGGGGGCCCGCACAAGCGGUGGAGCAUGUGGUUUAAUUCGAUAUAACACGCAAAACCUUACCAGCGCUUGACAUGCCGCGAAUCCUCUUGAAAGAGAGGGGUGCCUUUGGGAACGCAGACACAAGUGGUGCAUGGUUGUCAUCAGCUGGUGUGGUAAGGUGUUGGGUUAAGUCCCGCAACGAGCGCAACCCUCGUGUUUAGUUGCCAUCGUUGAGUUUGGAACCCUGAACAGACUACCGGCGAGAAGAUGGAGGAAGGUGAGGAUGACGUCAAGUCAUCAGGCCCCUUAUGUCCUGGGCAACGCACGUGCUACAAUGGGCGGGACAAAGGGUCGCGAUCCUGCGAGGGUGAGCUAACCCCAAAAACCCGUCCUCAGUUCGGAUUGCAGGCUGYAACUCGCCUGCAUGAAGCCGGAAUCGCUUGUAAUAGCCUGUCAUCCAUACGACAGUGAAUUCAUUCCCGCGCCUUGUACACACCUCCCGUCACACUGUGGGAGCUGGCCAUGCCCGAAGUGGUUACCUUAACCUCAAGGAGGGGGAUGCAAAAGGCAGGGCUAGUGACUGGAGUGAAGUCGUAACAAGGUAGCCAUACUGGAAGGUGCAGCUC